CUCGGCAAUGGAUAUCUCGGCUCUCGCAUCGAUGAAGAGCGCAGCGAAAUGCGAUACGUGGUGCGAAUUGCAGAAUCCCGCGAACCAUC
rnacentral:rRNA from 22 species